rnacentral:misc_RNA from 1 species
GUGAAUCAUCGAAUUUUUGAACGCAAAUUGCACUCUCCGGGGAUCCUAUGCCUAUUUGAGUGUCAGCCUAUAUAAAAUCGACAUCCUUGCUGUUUCGCGGUGGCGUUCGAGGGAAAUUGGGUCAUCUUAAAGCUUUUGGUUUUAAGCGACUUAAACUUUUCCUUUUGGUUCCAUGCACGUUUCUAAUAUUUAUUUCUUUACACGUUUAAGGUAUCUAUUUUUAUUAGACUGGACCUUCAUAUCGGAUCGCG